ACCAGAAGCGACCGGCCAAUCAGAGUUUUUCACUAAUGUUUGCUGACGUAUGGGGUCAUUGGUCGCGACGUGUCUCCUCAUUGGCCACGACCUGCUGUGAGGAGCGCAGAGGAACUCAGAGAAGCGGAGAAACGAAGUCGGAGAAUAGACUUAAACCAAAUUUGAAACAUUACUUCUGUUUGCUAGUACUAUGAAUAAACGUCGUUACCGAAGAGAUUUGUAUGCUAAAACAAACUCUGGAGCUGCUUUUUUGUCGAACACGCGUGAGACUGGACGCACAACACACCUGCGGCGUGAAGGUUUACUCAUUCAGCUGCUGCAGCCUGGACAGAAACACCAGCUCUAACCUCACAAACCAAACAGAGAUUUCACAGAGUGUCUUUGUACAGUGAAGAAGUUCUUUGAAACCAGGACUGAGACCACCAGGAUUCAAACUUCAACCAUUAAAUCACAGAGAAGAGACAGAUGUGAAGACAUUUCCAGAAGGUCUUCAGCUGCUGUCGUCUUCUCCUCCUGCAGAGCCAAGAACAUGUGUUAAUCACAGAAACUGAUCAGUGAGUCUGUUUCCUUUCCUAACCUUACCUUAUUCAUUGUUGAAUACUAACAGUGAUUCAAACUUAACUCUUAAUAACUCAUUCAGUAUCACAUAUUUUUUGAUGGGUUUUGAAGCCUUACUAUACUACGACAUUUGGCGUAAGACAGAAGAACUAUGUUAUAGCAGCCAUCUUACCUUUGUUUUCCACAGACACACACUCAUCUCUACACAGUGUUUGUUGUUUCAUUUUGGUAUUUUGCUAUGUCAAACUGCACAUAGUCCUGUUUGUACUGUUCAUAUUGUUUAUAAUUGUUAUAUAUCUUGCCCUUUUCUAUUUUUGCUGUUGCAAUACUGAAUUUCCCUGCUGUGGGAUUGAUAAAGUAUUAUCUAACUCAUACCCAAAUAAAUACUUCUGAAAACUGAAUAUUUUGCCAGUCUGUUUAAUAUUGUAUGAAAGUAAAUAUUUUUAGCCUUACCAUACUAUGACAUUUUGUUGACUGUUUUUGAUGCCUUACUAUAGUUUUUUGAUGAUUUUCGACACCUUAAUAUUGUAUGGCGUUUUUACUUCUAUUUUGGAUUACUGUU